CCUCCCUUCCCGUGUCUUCGAGCCGCCAGAGGGCUGGGUGCCUUUCCAUCAGCAGUGGCGCCAGCGCUGCGGGGCCCGAGCUCGGGUCUUUUUCAACCAAUCCGGACUAGCUUCAUCCAAAUUUUUCUCUCUCUCCUCCCUUCCUUGUUUCUUUUACUAUUUUUCUCCCAUUCUCUUAUUUGGAAUAUUCCUGCAUUUUUAAGAUCUCAAGAUGGUGCAGAAGAAAACUGAACUUAAAGGCUUCCAUCGUUCUUAUAAGGGCCAGAAUCCUUUCGACCUGGAAUUCUCUCAGUCCACUCACCUGGAAUCUGUCUUCAAUUUUGAAUGUUCCUCUCGGCCCGGUGAGCUCCCAUUUUUGCCUUUUUGAGAAAGCAGUGGGGAGGGACAGGGUGAAGCAGGAGUGAAUGGGCAGUUAAUUUUCCCAGGGG